AAAGGGCGGGCGCCGGCGUAGCGGGCUAGACGCUGAGGGGCGGGCUCGCGCGCGGAGGGGCUGCUUGAGGGAGGCAGACGCCGGGCUACGGAAGAGAAAACCUGGCUCAAGGACACCCGGAGACGCUACAGGAAUAUUCCUGGCCGCGUCGUUAAUAAGGACGAAGUCUGGAAACCCCCCCCCCCCAAGUGUCCAAGGCGACGAUACUUCAGUGAAUUGUGGUAGACCGUGCAGCAGCACAACUACCCAACAGCAGUGGGUGGCAUACGGCAACCAGGAUGAACGGACUGUUGGGGUGGCCAAGAAGUUCGUUCGUUUUUUUAGUCCUUAGGUUUCUGUGGUCCCCGAGGUCCAUGCACUUGGCCUGCUCCCCUGGCUGUGGAAGAAGAGGGGGCUCCUGCUGUCUCCCCCUAGCUCCGUCCGCUGUGCUGCCUGCCGGGUGGAGUGAAGGCCACGUGGGACCAUCAGAGCCCUUUCCAUCAUCUUAGAUCCUGACCUUCCCAUGAAACCUGCCCAGGAGGAGGGGGUGACACCAAGAAGAGGGAGAAAAGCUGGAACCGGAGUAACGCUAAGACCUGCAGGUGUGGAGACCCUGAGGCCCGGCUGGGAGCCCAAGGAUGCAGGCAGGGUCCCAGCGAGGGCGGCUCAAGACGCCUUCCCUUGGCAUCCUUGUCAUCGCAGCUCAGGAACUGCCCAGGAGAACUCAAGGCAGGUCCAAACCCGGACCUAAUGCAGGACUCACCCCGCGGGGCACCCACAGGCCCUCAGUGAGGAGCGUGUGCCCCACGGAAGGCUGUACCGUGCUUGCCACGGCUGGAGAGGCUGCCUGGAAACACUUUUCUUCCUACCUUUAGAAAUGUGCUUGCACUUUCUAGCAAAUAUACAUUAUAUAUAUAUAUAUACCUUUUAUAUGUAAAAAUAUAAAUACACGCACAUAUUCAGAUGUCUCCCUUGAAACUGUGAUGCCUGCACGUUAACAUUCUCAUCUUAAACAGAGAACACUGGCUUGGGGGUAGAGCUACCUGUAUGCUAAAUCAGCAGCUGUGGAUUGUCUUGCCCCUUAGGUUUCAGAUCUGCCUGGCCCUGUGAUGCACGAGGCUCCCCUGGGCUUUGAUGUCAGAAGAACUUGAGGUGCCCUGUCCCUCCCUCGGGUCCCCGCAGCCUGGAGCCUCAGCUCCUCCAUCUCUGCUUACCUGGCACGAGAUGCAAAGUGCCCGGAGCAGCUCGGCGCCAAUGGACAGAAACCCCUUUAAGCAGCUUCCAGCCUUGGAGGACCCGACAGAUCCAGCUUUUUCAAUUUUACACUCAAUGUGCAAGUAUAUUGAACAUGAAUCGUACUCAUUUAUCACCCAAGUGAGAAAACACGGAUCUUUUAAAAGCCUACCAAAUGUAAACUUUUCCUAAGACCUCAUCUAUACAAAGAAGUAACUACUAGUUGGACUGAUCUUUCAAGACCUUUCUUUAUGAUUACUUAUUUCCGGAAAUAUUUCAUUUUAUAUUAAAAUAACGUGUUGCACAAAAUUCAGAAGAAAAUAUCAAAGUGAAAGAAGAAAUUUUUUAAAUUAUCCAUAACCCUGUCAGGUAGAGUGAUAACAGCUCUGAAUAUUUUGGUGUUUUUCAUUCAUUUUGUGUGGAUACACAUAUAUAUAAAUAAAUACGUGCCAAUGUGGAA